AGCCCUUCCCAUUUCUAACGGCUGUCCUGCGUUUUUCUGAUUCUGAGAUAGGAGUGCACAGUGCUAUUACUAAUAACAGUAGAGACUUAUAUAGUGCUUCCUACAGGCAGGUACUAUUGUAAGUUCUUUACAUGUGUUAACCUAUGAGGUUAUGAGAUACAUAUUUUUAUGUUUAUGUUUUUGUAGAUGAGGAAACUGAAACACAGAUAAGUUACUUAACAUGGGAUCAAAGAGGUAGUACAUGGCAGAACAGAGAUUUGUUUCCAUUAGUCAGAAUCCAGAAUUUGUGUGUUUAACCAUUAAACCAUACUGCUUCUUGAUAACAAUAAUGAGGAAGAUAGUGGCCUUUAUUUUUGCUAUCAAAGCAUCGUAGAUUAAACAAAUCAAUGUUAUCCUCAUGUUACAUCUUAUGAAAAGAAUAAGGAAUUGGUAUUUAAAAUAUAAGAUACUGGUUACAAGGACAUGGGUUUAUUUUGCAUCACUGGGCAAAGUAAACUCAUUUGCCAUACCUUCUGGAUCUAUACCUUCUGGAUCUCCACUUAUACCAUCAUCCAUUCAUCCAUUCUUUUACCCACCAAUAAUUACUGUUUGCCUACCAUAUAUACCAGGAACUUUUUUAGGUACUAGCAAUACAGAAAUGGACAAGUUAGUCUCUGCUCUUAUGGGGUUUACUUUUUCCAAAAGUGUGACAAAAAUUCUGUAUUAGUAAAGCAAAUCUUUAAAACUAACUCAGUUAACAGAAUCAAAUAUCUUCAGAUACAGUUAAUUUGGUCUUUACAGAUUACGUAGUAAUUCGCAAGGGAAUAAAUGAAUUGAGUCAAGGCAUUUGCACAGCUGGAAAUCAAGUUUAAGAUUAGAUUGCCAUGAACCCAAGUGAUCUGGCUCCAGCCUAAACACUGAAUGAAUCCACUUACUUGGAGCGGACCAAGGUUUGCAAGAGAGGCAGCAUCUGUCCCAUAGAAUGGUAGCUGAUGUGUUUGUAAAUGACCAGUGCUUUCAACUCUGUAAAGUUCAGUUGAACUUGAGAAGACAUAGCCAGUAUCUCCUGAUUCUUAGUAAAUUCUGAUCUUUUCCAGUUUACCUUCCACUAAAUUAGGCCAUAGAACCUGGAAAUCAGCCAUGUUACAUAAACACUCUAGAAGCAUUACGCUGUGAGUAGGAGACAGGGGUAAUGAGCCAUAUCUAAAACUGUUUUUAUUGGAAUCCAUAAGAGAAGGAGAGAGUAGAGUUUUAAAAAAGUAUGAGUGAGAUGAGUUAGUGGAAAAUGAGACUAAGGUGAGAAUAAAUGUGUGAAUAUUAGAGAUUUUUACAGACUGGAACUUGAUUUGAAAUGGAAGAAUGGAAAAAUGCUGAGACCAUUUUGGACUUAAUGGAAAUGGAACUUAACGUGACAUACAUUCUCUGGGUAUGAAGGUAAGCCAAGAGAAGAGACAGCAAUCAAUAUAUGGUGAUUGUAUCUUAUAAGAUCCGGAAUGAUCCUUUAGGGUCUAUAGUCACUGAAACAUCAGUGUGAGAGAGGUGGCAUGCCCUGGGGACACCUAUCAGAUGCAGUCUCUCAAGAAGCAUCAUGGAGAGUGGCGGGUGUUCUCUGGAAGCUGGAAGUCUCAAGUGGACGAUUUUUCCCUUAAAGCCUCCGGAAGGGAUAUAGCCCUGCUGACAUUUUGAAUUUGGCCCAGUGAGACCAGUUUUGGACCUUGAGCUGAAACUGUAAGUUUUGAAUUUACGUUUUGUUUUUUUAACUAACAAAAGUGCUAGUGUUUCAGAGCAGCAAAAUAAAUGUAUGUUGGCUGGCCCCAUUCUUGCUCCAACAUUUGGAUGUUGCUGUAGGUGUGCACACUCCUGGAGAGGGUGGGGGGCUGCUCUUCCGCCUGGGAGGACUAGGUUUGCUUGUGUGGAGGGCUCCCCUGCUCCCACUGUUUUGAAUGGCAUUACUUUGCGUUUGGAGUGAUCUUCACUUUGAGAAUCCUUCAAGGGGAUGGACUUGGUGGGUUUUUAUGACCUUCAGACUUCUGGAUUAACUUUCAAGUUUUUCUGUGAGCAAGCUGUAAGUAAGCAAUGCUUUUCACUUUUACUAGCCUAUUAAAAUGUAACUCAGAGCUGUAGACAAGUAGGGUAAAGUGAGGCCCAGUCUGGGGGGUGAGGGCCCUGGCUUUUCCCUUGUUCCUUCCCCUGCCCCAUGCAAGUUGUGGUUAUUUUCCCAGAAACAUCUUUACAGGAAUUUCAUCAAGUUCAAGUCCUACCGGCAUUUGAAUUGACACCAUCAAAACCGUGGGCUAAUUUGGGGGAGAACAAAUAUCUUAGUCCUGUAACGUACAACACUAAACUAUCCCAGUACAAACGUGUUGUAUUGAAAAGGCUAAGUCUUUGAUGUCCUAUAAUCUUAAGGUUUCAUUGUUUCCCCCCCCCCAAAAGAUCUUGUAAGUUUUUAUGUUAACCUGUCUUUACAUCCAGUAUUGCUGCGUUAUUCUUUUUGCUCAUUUUGUUCCUUUGUGUCAUGUAUUACUUCUGAAUUGUGGGGUAGAGGUUGGUCUACUUGUUACGUGUCUUUUAUAGAGACUUGAUUUUCCUAUGCUGAAAUAUUUUUUUCUUGUGUGUUAAUAUUGCUCUAGGGAUAUAAGCUACCACAACCAAGUCUAUAUAACAGAAGAAGGGGCUGCAGCUGAAGCCCUACUCUGUUCCCCUCCUGGUGAUUCUGGCGGGAGUGGAAGGAGGAAAUGAGGGCAGAGAACCUCUAGAAUUAAAAUGUGGGCUUAAGGCUCCCUCCACCCCCACACUCCCCAUUUACCUGCAUCCUUCCCAGAUCCCUCUACGGACACCUGUCUGGGCUGCUACUCUAGAUUCCAAUUUCUUGGGUUGGGAGGAGCAGGAGGAGAGAAAGCUAAGACCAGACAGGUGGCCUUUCACCCUCCACUUGCCUAAAUUCUGUGGUUCUCGACCCUGGAGCAUGUUGGGACCACCUGGGAGCUUUAAAAAUAUUGAUACUUAGAAUGAACCGAGUCUCUCAGGAGCUGCAGGUGAGGCCUCAGGCAUAAGGAGGCCUUAAAACUCCAUAGGUGAUACUAAUGUGCCACAAAGCCUAAGCUUUAUCUAGGUGGCUCUGGGCCUAUCCUGAAGUUGCUCAACCAGCUGGAGGAGGACCUGGGCCACCACUGUCGUUUGUCUUGGCUUGGUCCUGGGCUGGUGGGCCCCUGCCAAGGGCCUUGUGGAGGUUCCAAAAGGGAGCCAACCACCCUGUCUGUGGCUCUCUGGCUUUUCCAUCUGGGUUACGUGUCUGCCAUGUAUGGAUCUAAUCCCUUUCUCUAAGGUUUUUUCCCAAAGCUUUUAUGUUCUAAGAUUCACCAACUUCCCUCUUAGAACUGCCAGCUGCCUCUUGUAAACCUGAUCCACUUGCCUACAUGACAGCACCUGGAGAACUGAAGGGAAACCAGUCUGAAGGGUCCUGGUCUUCGGUGUCCUGUAUAUUUUGCUUCAGAACAUUAUCCAAUUGAGGGGUUAUUGGAGAAGACCCAGGCCACAUAGUGCCAAGUCUGGGAUUAGAUACUUAACAAAACAAAUUUAUCCCUGAGUUCUUGUGAGGAUUAAAUGGGAUAAAAUAGAAAAGUAUGCACCAGCAAUGGGCUCUCAGGAGGGAAUCCUAGAUAUUAGCUGGAGGUUAACUGUUGUGGGGGAAAUAGGAUAGAAACAUUAACUGAUAAGUGACCAGGGAUCAGUUAUCUGAGAAUAGAAGAACCAUCUAGUAGGUGGUGGUAAAAAAUCACAGACUUAGGGGUUCCUCAGUGGCUGUGAGCUACACCUCAGUGCUUCCUUCUGUUAAGAUCGCUUAUUAGAAUUGACUAGAAUUUAGUUGAUGAGAUUCCUCUGUUAGGCUACAAGAGGGGCAUUAAACCUCCUGUAACUUCAGGCUUGGAUUGGCUGUUGGUAGAAGGUGAUAAAACUUUGUGUCUGGACUUAAUGGUUUUUGUUUUUGAGUCCGUAUUAGAAUAUAUUGGAAUAAAAUCUCACCAUUCCAGGUAUGGCCCUAUCUGACCUCAAGCCUCUGCAGGCUGGAAUCUGCCCUGAGGUUAUUAGUCUACCUAACAGAACUCGGCAGAUGUGAUCAGAACAUUUGAGGCUGAAACUGACUGGGGCUAGUAGACCAUAGAUGCCUUUCUGUCCACCCCCCCCCCCCACCUCCCAUGUUGAGAUCCUAACCCCUAGCACCUCUGAAUGUGUCCUCAUUUGGAAAUAGGAUCUCUGGAGAUGAACAAGUGAAAAUAAGGUCAUUAGGGUGAGUCCUAACUCAAUAUAACUGGUGACCUUACAAGAGGUGAAAUGAUGGUGGAGACCACACAGGGAUAACACUAUCAAGAUGAAGGUAGAAGUUAGAUGAUGUCCAUCAACUGAAGAAAUGCAGAAGAUUGUCAGCAAACCAGCAGGAGCUGGGAGAGAGAGGCAUGACAUGGAUUCUCCGAGCCAUCCAGAAGAAUUGGCCCUGCCAACAUCUUUACUUUGGACUUGUAGCUUCCAGAAUUGAGACCGUAAAUUCUUGUUUGAGUUGCCUAGUUGGUAGUAUUUUGUUAUGGCAACCCUAGGAAUCCAACACACUAUUUCUGUCUGCCUCUCAGGAGCAGGGAUGCCAUGGAUUGGUUGACUUCAGAGACCCUCAGUGAACUACUAGAUUGGAAGUGAAAAGGCUGGUAUUUGACCUUCGGGAAGGGUAGUAUCCCAUGAUCCACUUAAAAACUUUUCUAGUGGGGGGACCCUUUUGUGAGACCUGAGAAUCUCAGGGUAGGUGGGGGUGCUCUCUGGAUUUUUCACUUCCUGUGGGGUGAAUGAAGGAAGUGCUCUGAACUGGGGAACAUCCUGGCCACCUAUUUCUUAGGCUUUCCCUUUUUGUGGGGUUUUCCUAUCCCAUAUGGUGAUGUAAAAAUCUGGUGGGAUAAGGGAGGAGGAACAGAACUCUAAAGCUUUCCCUCCCUGGAAAGGCCUGAGGUGGGUGGGUAGGUGGGGACCUUUUGGUGUUCUGAAGGGCCUAAGAAAAUCUUAAGACUUGGAAAAAAAUAUCCAAAAUAUAUGGAACCUCAAACACUUGAAUAUCUAAAGUAUAACCCAGCCAGAUCGGUUUAGAUAAUUACAGAUCAGUAGACCACAUGAAAUCCUAUUUAAGCUAUGAUGUGGGUGAAGUCUCUAAAUGUAACAGUAAGCAAAAAUCUUCAACAGCCCUGGGCAUCGGGGCAAGUGGUUUUUCCUCCUCUAGCUACUGCUGUCUAGCACCUACACCCCUUCCUCGCUUGUACACUGACCUCUGAGAUGAGAGACUUUGUGAACGGAGCACAAAAGACCUGGAAUAAAGCAGUCCUUGGUGCUACUUCAUCUGUGAUACAUGGGGAAAAUGGACUGUUGUGACAGUGGGCUGGGAACAAGAUUCAGGUGAUUUUUCUCCCUGCCAGUGCUUCCUUGUUUUGUAAGAGUCCCCACUUGAAGUAGUCGAUCUCCAUUAAAAAAAUUUUUCAUUAAACAAAAACCCAGCAAUCCCCUGUGGCUUUGUAAUCAAAUACGCAGUUUAGAAAAGAUGUUAAAUGAAAGCACAUACAUAGGCACUAUCUCCUAAGUGGACAGUGAACCCUCAAUAAGUGGAGGUAGCCUCUAUUUUUCCUAGGCAGACAAGUUGGAAGUAAAGAUGUAAGGUGUUCCUUCAUUCACUCUGAUCCAAGCUUCUGAAACUCAAGAAGUUAAAAAAAUGCGGAGUUUUUAAUAGCAGUCCUCGAAGUGGACAUGAA